rnacentral:misc_RNA from 1 species
AAGUCGUAACAAGGUUUCCGUAGGUGAACCUGCGGAAGGAUCAUUAAAAUGGAGGGCGGGCUUCUGCCCGCCAACCGCUUUACAGCGCCUACUCCGGGAGUCCCUCGGGGCUCCCAGAAGAGGUCACCAAAUGUGAACAGUCCUGUUGCUUUGGCAGCAUCGGUCUCCCGCCCUCACGGGUUGGGUUGCCGCUGUCAGUCUGUCAUUAGUCCAACCUUAAACUCUUGCACCGAAACUGAAGUCUGAAAAACUUAUAAAUGCAAACGCAUAAAA